rnacentral:rRNA from 1 species
UACGGGGGGGGCAAGCGUUGUCCGGAUUUAUUGGGCGUAAAGAGCGUGUAGGCGGCCGCACAGGUCCGUUGUGAAAACUGGAGGCUUAACCUUCAGACGUCGAUGGAAACCGUGCGGCUAGAGUCCGGAAGAGGAGAAUGGAAUUCCUGGUGUAGCGGUGAAAUGCGCAGAUAUCAGGAAGAACACCCGUGGCGAAGGCGGUUCUCUGGAACGCAACUGACGCUGAGACGCGAAAGCGUGGGGAGCAAACAGG